GACGUAGGGCGCGAGCGUUGUCCGGAUUUAUUGGGCGUAAAGAGCUCGUAGGCGGCUUGUCGCGUCGACUGUGAAAACCCGUGGCUCAACCAUGUGGUCUGCAGUCGAUACGGGCAGGCUAGAAUUCGGUAGGGGAGACUGGAAUUCCUGGUGUAGCGGUGAAAUGCGCAGAUAUCAGGAGGAACACCGGUGGCGAAGGCGGGUCUCUGGACCGAUAUUGACGCUGAGGAGCGAAAGCGUGGGGAGCGAACAGG
rnacentral:rRNA from 1 species